CAACCCUCAAGCACAGCUUGGUAUUGAGCCUAUGUCAGUAAUGGCAGACUCUAAAAUCAGUGGCGGCGCGACUGAGGCCUAAACGUAGUAAUAUUUCUCGUUACAGGUUCCCAGUUGUAUCUGCCAAAACCCAAAUUUCUU
rnacentral:rRNA from 1 species